CCUUAAUUAGUAUCACUAGUAAGGCCUGCCCUUAAACUGUGUUGGUUUAAAGCUCUAAAAACACACUGUUCACUCUCAGCCCGGGACCAAACAUCAGGUAGAAAUAAUAACUGGUGAACACUGUGGAGCAUUUAGAAGCUAAAGAGACAGAUAUUUCUCUCAGGAGUUGGUGGAGACCAAAAAUUGGACUUUCAUCAGGUAUCUUCAUUGUUGUAUCUGCUGGAUGUGAGCAGUUUGAGCACUUCAGCUGCUUGCUCCAUCUUCUGCUCCCGGAGAAGCCUCUGGAUCUCCCGGAUCCACGCCACCCGUCUGACAUACGGGCUGUGGUUGGUUUUCCGCAGCAUCCCUGGGAGCUUGUCGGACUUGAGCAUCAAGGAGAGCCAGCACUGUAUACAACCACUGGAUUUUUUCCCAGUGCGCAUACAGAGCAGAAAACUAGUGGACCAGGAAGAGAUAUCCUACUUCUAUAAUUGGAGAGAGCUGAACUCUGCGAGGACAAUCAUCAGAGAAUGACCACAAAAAUGCACUUCCUGUUGAACUAAACUCACUGACACCCUCUGGAAAGCCCGACAAUCAGAUGAAACAGAAGUAGGAGCUCCAGUGACGUUGCUUAAGCAGGUCCUGAUUGAACUUUCAAAAAGGGGCACCGGGAUGGUGGUGCAAAUCAUGGAAAAGCGGGUUGGAAAAAGGUGGUUGAGUGUGAGAUUGCUGCAGACAAACAGAGGUCAUACCGUCUUCCUACCAUGGAUUCCUCACCAUGACAGAAAUGAGCUUCCCUUCACUUAGGUCAGGUAACAGCUCCCUGUCAGGCUGACCACCACUCUCAAGCCCUGAAGUUUUUAUAUAGAGAGUUUUCCUUUUUGUUUCUUAUUCUGUCCUCUUGGGUGAGUUGGGCAAAUAUACA